GAAGAACUCAGGAGUACAGGGAGUCUUAUCAAUCCUCCAGGUCUUCUACUCAGAUAAUCUACUGCACACACUACUGCUUCUGUCAGUCCUCAUUAAAACCAACACUGGAGAUCCAAGAGUGAUAAAUCCAAGCAUAACAGAAAAAUGUAUGUUGUAGUUCAUAUCUUUGAUCACACCACUCAAAAAUGGUCACUGCCUCAGAGAGGAGAGAUCAGCUUCAUUCAUCAGUCAUGUUUCUAUUCAUGCACCUGUUCUUUAGCAUCUUACAAAAUCAAGAUGGAUGGCUCCUGUCCACUCUGUAGUUCUCAGCAUCUUUAACUCCUUCCUGAGCAGCUGCUACACAUACACUCUGAAUUUCCUGGAAUUUGGACUAUCA
ensembl:lncRNA